CGGCCGCUGCCGCCGCCUGCCGGGGCAUGUCGUGGACGCCGGCAGAGACGAACGCGCUCAUCGCUGUGUGGGGCAACGAGCGGCUGGUGGAGGCGCGGUACCAGCAGCUGGAGGGAGCCGGCACGGUAUUCGGCAGCAAGGCCCCUGGGCCGGCCAUGUACGAGCGCGUGUCCCGGGCCCUGGCCGAGCUGGGCUACGAGCGGACCCCGUCCCAAUGCCGGGAGCGCAUCAAGACCCUUCGCAGGUGUUACAGUCGGGUGAAAGAACAUGGUGUUGGGAAAAGAAAGAGCAGUUACACAUUUGAACAGUUGGAACAGGAGCUGGAGUCAGAUGGCAGCACUAUG
rnacentral:lncRNA from 1 species